GUCUGAAGAAAGCGUGUUCUCGGAUGUCCCUCUCUCCCUCAAGACCACAGCCCAGACGCUUGGAUGGGUGCUUGGUCAUCAGCUGCUCAUGUGUCUAAAGUAAAUGGAAGAAACUUUCAGGGAACAGAUCCGCAGGUCAGUAAAUGACAACGGAACAGAUGGGUCUGAAAAAGAGUGACAGAAUUGCCCCCCCCCCCGCUUGCUCUGCUUUUAAAGAACUGCUGCCACUUACAGUCGCACCACAGACAACAUGGGGACACAAUCUGCACUUUGUAAAAGAGCAAACCAAGACAAAAAAAAGGGGACCCACAGGAAAUAUAACCAACAAGAAAAUCUGUCCCUGUUAAAUGAUGUAGUGGCCUAAAGCUAUUGCAUAAAUGUAAUUAUCCAAAUAAAGAAUCAUUUAAAAAUCAUUGAAAUGUUUGUUUGUUAGGCUUGCAGUAGGAGAGCCUAUGCAUUGCUGCUUACAUGACACAAGUUGGACACAAACAGAUAAAAAUGCAUUAAAGCAAUUCCCACUCAUAAUGGAAGAUAAUCACUGAUUGGCUGCUUGUUUUUCUAAGUGUGUAUAUGGACUGUGACCACUCGUACUAUUUACAUAAAUAUUUUUGCAUUAUCUCCCCUGCCUUAGUGCAGUGAUUUG